AGAUUGAACGCUGGCGGCAUGCCUUACACAUGCAAGUCGAACGGCAGCACGGGAGCAAUCCUGGUGGCGAGUGGCGAACGGGUGAGUAAUACAUCGGAACGUGUCCUGUAGUGGGGGAUAGCCCGGCGAAAGCCGGAUUAAUACCGCAUACGAUCUACGGAAGAAAGCGGGGGAUCCUUCGGGACCUCGCGCUAUAGGGGCGGCCGAUGGCAGAUUAGCUAGUUGGUGGGGUAAAGGCCUACCAAGGCGACGAUCUGUAGCUGGUCUGAGAGGACGACCAGCCACACUGGGACUGAGACACGGCCCAGACUCCUACGGGAGGCAGCAGUGGGGAAUUUUGGACAAUGGGCGCAAGCCUGAUCCAGCCAUGCCGCGUGAGUGAUGAAGGCCCUAGGGUUGUAAAGCUCUUUUGUGCGGGAAGAUAAUGACGGUACCGCAAGAAUAAGCCCCGGCUAACUUCGUGCCAGCAGCCGC
rnacentral:rRNA from 1 species